AGAGUUUGAUCCUGGCUCAGGAUGAACGCUGGCGGCAUGCCUAACACAUGCAAGUCGAACGGGGUUUAUAUAACGGAACUCUUCGGAGGGAAGAUAUAUAAACCUAGUGGCGGACGGGUGAGUAACGCGUGGGCAACCUGCCCUGUACCGGGGGACAACAGCCAGAAAUGGCUGCUAAUACCGCAUAAGCCUGCUGUGCCGCAUGGCACAGCAGGGAAAACCACGGUGGUACAGGAUGGGCCCGCGUCUGAUUAGUUAGUUGGCAGGGUAACGGCCUACCAAGACAACGAUCAGUAGCCGGCUUGAGAGAGUGGACGGCCACAUUGGGACUGAGACACGGCCCAGACUCCUGCGGGAGGCAGCAGUGGGGAAUAUUGCACAAUGGGGGGAACCCUGAUGCAGCAAUGCCGCGUGGGUGAAGAAGCACUCCGGUGCGUAAAGCCCUGUCAGCAGGGAAGAAAAUGACAGUACCUGACCAAGAAGCCCCGGCUAACUACGUGCCAGCAGCCGCGGUAAUACGUAGGGGGCAAGCGUUAUCCGGAUUUACUGGGUGUAAAGGGAGCGCAGGCGGCGUGGCAAGUCAGAUGUGAAAACCCGGGGCCCAACCCCGGGAGUGCAUUUGAAACUGCCAUGCUGGAGUGCCGGAGAGGUAAGUGGAAUUCCUAGUGUAGCGGUGAAAUGCGUAGAUAUUAGGAAGAACACCGGUGGCGAAGGCGACUUUCUGGACUGUAACUGACGUUGAGGCACGAAAGUGUGGGGAGCAAACAGGAUUAGAUACCCUGGUAGUCCACACUGUAAACGAUGGAUACUAGGUGUAGGGGGUAUUAAGCCUUCUGUGCCGUCGCAAACGCAGUAAGUAUCCCACCUGGGGAGUACGACCGCAAGGUUGAAACUCAAAGGAAUUGACGGGGGCCCGCACAAGCAGUGGAGUAUGUGGUUUAAUUCGAAGCAACGCGAAGAACCUUACCAGGGCUUGACAUAUAAGUGAAUGGCUAAGAGAUUAGUCAGUAUUUCGGUACACUUAUACAGGUGGUGCAUGGUUGUCGUCAGCUCGUGUCGUGAGAUGUUAGGUUAAGUCCUGCAACGAGCGCAACCCCUAUACUUAGUUGCCAGCACGUAAAGGUGGGAACUCUAGGUAGACUGCCGGUGAUAAAUCGGAGGAGGGUGGGGACGACGUCAAAUCAUCAUGCCCUUUAUGUCCUGGGCUACACACGUACUACAAUGGCUAUAACAAAGAGAAGCGAGACGGAGACGUUAAGCGAAACCCAAAAAAGUAGUCUCAGUUCGGAUUAAAGGCUGAAAUUCGCCUUCAUGAGGCCGGAAUUGCUAGUAAUGGCAGGUCAGCAUACUGCCGUGAAUACGUUCCCGGGCCUUGCACACACCGCCCGUCA
rnacentral:rRNA from 1 species